rnacentral:lncRNA from 1 species
UGUGAUCCACCUGCCUCGGCCUCCCAAAGUGCUGGGAUUACAGGCAUGAGCCACUGUGCCUGGCCAUAUAAUUUUUAAAAGAAGAUUCAUUAAACAAAGGAUCCACAAUAUAAUAAAAAAUUCCAAACUAUCAAAAGCCAAAUGAUUAAUUCUUGACACUUAGGAAAUAAAUGGAUUGAUUAUUUUGUUCCGAAUUUCAGAACAACCAAUAAAAUAAGAGAAAUAAGAUACAGAAUUUGCAAAUCAUUAGAAAGAAGUAACAAAGUUAUAAACAGGGAAGUAUUUUUAAAUGACACUUGAAAACCCAAACAAAAGAAGACAUAACACACGAUGGCAGCAAAAAGUUUAAACAUAUUAUGAUUACAAUUAUGAUUAGAUAAGUUCCCCUGUCAAAGACAAAGAACAGUAAUUAGUUGUUUAUAAGAACUACACUUAAAUCAAAUGACACACAAAGGUAAAAAUUGAACAAGGCAAUGAGAAGCAAAACAAUACCCAGAAAUAGAUUUCAGCAGAAGUGGGAGUCAUUCUUUCCAGUAUAGGUUUGAAUUCACAAUACCUGCAGGGCCUAAAAAAGCUCAAAUUAAAAUUUAAUGUAAAGUGGUCUCCAAUUAGUAGUUUCCCAAGAUGCCUUGCAGAAGAGGCAAUACAAAUUCAUUCUUUUUUUCUUUUCGCCACAAGGUGGGUGUCAUUGUGACUGGCUGCUACCUCCCCAUGAGUCUUCUAAAAUAAAACCUGCAAAUUCACAUCUUCCCCAUGCUUCCAGAGAAUGCAUAUUCUUCCUUUGAAAAAAGAAAACCAGGAAGAUUUGAAUAGAUAUUUCUCAAAAGAAGACAUACGAAUGGCAAACAGACAUAUGAAAAUGUACUCAAAAUCAUUGAUCAUCAGAGAAAUGUAAAUCAAAACUGCAAUGAGAUAUCAUCCGACUCCAGUUAAAAUGGCUUUUAUCCAAAAGUCAGGCAAUAAAAAAUGCUGGUAAGGAUGUAGAGAAAAGGGAACCCUUGUACACUGUUAGUGGGAAUGUAAAUUAAUACAAUCACUAUGGAGAACAGUUUGGAGGAUCCUCAAAAAACUAAAAAUAGAGCUACCAUAUGAUUCAGCAAUCUCACUGCUAGGUAUAUACCCAAAAGUAUAUUGAAGAGACAUCUGCACUCCCAUGUUUGUUGCAGCACUGUUCAUAAUAGCCAAGAUUUGGAAGCCACCUAAGUGUCCAUCAACAGAUGAAUGGAGAAACUGUGGUACAUAUACACAACGGAGUGCUAUUCAGCCAUAAAAAAGAAUGAUACUCUGUCAUCUGCAACAACAUGAAUGGAACUGGAGAUCAUUAUGUUGUUAAAUAAGCCAGACACAGAAAGACAAACAUCACAUAUUUUCACUUAUUUUGGGGAUAUAAAAGUCAAAACAAACUCAUGGAGAUAGAGAACAGAUAGACGGUUACCAGAGGCUAGGAGGAGGAGUGGUGGGGGGCAGUUAGUGAUGGUUAAUUGGUACAAAAAAAUGGUUAGAAAUAAUAAAUAAGACCUAGUAUUAGAUAGGACAACAGGAGGACUAUAGUCAAAAAUAAUUUAUUUGUACAUUUCAAAGUAACUAAAAGAGUGUAAUUGUAUUAUUUGUAGCACAUAGGAUAAAUGCUUGAGGUGACGGAUACCCCAUUUACCCUGAUGUGAUUAUUACACAUCGUAUGCCUGUACCAAAAGAUCUCAUGUACCUCAUAAAUACAUACACCUACUAUAUACCCACACAAAUUAAAAAUUAAAAAAAUUUAAAGAAAUUACAGUUUGUUGGUUUUGAAUAUUUGACCAAAUUUUUUACUAAGCACAGAUAGAUUGAAUAUAAUUUUAUUGUCCUUUUGACAUUAUGAUAAUGAAGGUAUCUACACAGAAGUCUGAGAUGAGAAAAAAAUGAUAUAAUAUCCACCUACUACAUAGUGGGUAGUUUAUAUACUAAAGUUAUUGUUAUGAGAAAGAAUGGCUUAGGAAUAUUAUUUAAAAUUAAUUAAGGGGUGUUAAAAAUAAAAUACCAAGUGUAAAAAUGACAAAGGCAAGAAGAAACAGUAUAUAAUGUGAGUAAAUCUUAAUCUUUCCAAGAGAGGAGACAGUACAUAAUGUCUAAAAUUGUUAAACCAUGAAAUAGAAAUAUAGUUAUUUUAUUCAUAAUUAAGGAGAUAACUACUAUAGCACGAAAUCGUGCCAAAAAUGGUUGCCUCUGGGAAAUGUGAUUAUAGAUAUUAUAAUAUUUUGGACUGUAAAAAUCUGCUUUUAAGACUGAGGAAAUACAAAUAGGACAAUAUUUAUUUGAAAUUUGUAUCCUCAGGGAGUGUAAAGAAAUUAAUGUAUCCACAAAAUAAUAAUAGCUGCUAUUUGAAAACAUAGUUUUCUUGAAAGUUAAAAUAGUAAUAGUCUUCUAAAAAUUUUGUUAGUUUUGGUUUUCUCUUUAAUCUGAGUUAUGUAGAAAAGUGCUUAUUUCAAAUUAGGUAGGCUUGUUUUAUUCCUUUUUCUGUCUUUUUUCUAUCAACUAGUGUUUUAUUGUGUUCAGAAAAUGCCAUGCAUUAAAAGACUACUUUUGAGAAUUUCUAGAGAUUUUCUUUGUUACUAAAGAGAUUUUUGUAAUUGUUACAUGGGAUUUUAAAAAGAAUGUAAAUUAUCCUUUUUGUCAAGUAUAAUGAUUUCUGAAACCUAGCUGUGUCAGAAUACUGUAUAAUACUGUAAUAGUAUGUUGUUUUUGGCUAUGUGUACUUAUUUCUUAGAGUGGUAUGUUAAAGCCUCGACCUUGUGACUUUGUUUAUUUCUCUCUCUACAUCUAAACAUUUCCAAGACAUGUUAUUUGCAAUACCAAGACCAUAACUAUUAUGUAUUUAAUCAAAAUAAAAUAUUUCGGCUCUCUAUAAUUCACCUUGAACUUUAUUUUGUUAAAUAUAAAUGUUGUUGAUUAUACAACAUUUCAUUAUCAAUCCCUAGACACAUUUCUAAUCCACUAUAAUUGUUUUAAAAUAAAAGGAGAAGGGAAGGUUGUA